rnacentral:rRNA from 1 species
GAUGAACGCUAGCUACAGGCUUAACACAUGCAAGUCGAGGGGCAGCAUGGUCUUAGCUUGCUAAGGCCGAUGGCGACCGGCGCACGGGUGAGUAACACGUAUCCAACCUGCCGUCUACUCUUGGACAGCCUUCUGAAAGGAAGAUUAAUACAAGAUGGCAUCAUGAGUCCACAUGUUCACAUGAUUAAAGGUAUUCCGGUAGACGAUGGGGAUGCGUUCCAUUAGAUAGUAGGCGGGGUAAUGGCCCACCUAGUCUUCGAUGGAUAGGGGUUCUGAGAGGAAGGUCCCCCACAUUGGAACUGAGACACGGUCCAAACUCCUACGGGAGGCAGCAGUGAGGAAUAUUGGUCAAUGGGCGAGAGCCUGAACCAGCCAAGUAGCGUGAAGGAUGACUGCCCUAUGGGUUGUAAACUUCUUUUAUAAAGGAAUAAAGUCGGGUAUGCAUACCCGUUUGCAUGUACUUUAUGAAUAAGGAUCGGCUAACUCCGUGCCAGCAGCCGCGGUAAUACGGAGGAUCCGAGCGUUAUCCGGAUUUAUUGGGUUUAAAGGGAGCGUAGAUGGAUGUUUAAGUCAGUUGUGAAAGUUUGCGGCUCAACCGUAAAAUUGCAGUUGAUACUGGAUAUCUUGAGUGCAGUUGAGGCAGGCGGAAUUCGUGGUGUAGCGGUGAAAUGCUUAGAUAUCACGAAGAACUCCGAUUGCGAAGGCAGCCUGCUAAGCUGCAACUGACAUUGAGGCUCGAAAGUGUGGGUAUCAAACAGGAUUAGAUACCCUGGUAGUCCACACGGUAAACGAUGAAUACUCGCUGUUUGCGAUAUACAGCAAGCGGCCAAGCGAAAGCGUUAAGUAUUCCACCUGGGGAGUACGCCGGCAACGGUGAAACUCAAAGGAAUUGACGGGGGCCCGCACAAGCGGAGGAACAUGUGGUUUAAUUCGAUGAUACGCGAGGAGCCUUACCCGGGCUUAAAUUGCAGAUGAAUUACGGUGAAAGCCGUAAGCCGCAAGGCAUCUGUGAAGGUGCUGCAUGGUUGUCGUCAGCUCGUGCCGUGAGGUGUCGGCUUAAGUGCCAUAACGAGCGCAACCCUUGUUGUCAGUUACUAACAGGUUCCGCUGAGGACUCUGACAAGACUGCCAUCGUAAGAUGUGAGGAAGGUGGGGAUGACGUCAAAUCAGCACGGCCCUUACGUCCGGGGCUACACACGUGUUACAAUGGGGGGUACAGAGGGCCGCUACCACGCGAGUGGAUGCCAAUCCCAAAAACCUCUCUCAGUUCGGACUGGAGUCUGCAACCCGACUCCACGAAGCUGGAUUCGCUAGUAAUCGCGCAUCAGCCACGGCGCGGUGAAUACGUUCCCGGGCCU